rnacentral:rRNA from 1 species
AGUGAACGCUGGCGGCAGGCCUAACACAUGCAAGUCGAACGGCAGCACAGUGGAGCUUGCUCCAUGGGUGGCGAGUGGCGGACGGGGUGAGGAAUACAUCGGAAUCUGCCCAGUCGUGGGGGAUAACAUAGGGAAACUUAUGCUAAUACCGCAUACGACCUACGGGUGAAAGCGGGGGAUCGCAAGACCUCGCGCGAUUGGAUGAGCCGAUGUCCGAUUAGCUAGUUGGCGGGGUAAUGGCCCACCAAGGCGACGAUCGGUAGCUGGUCUGAGAGGAUGAUCAGCCACACUGGAACUGAGACACGGUCCAGACUCCUACGGGAGGCAGCAGUGGGGAAUAUUGGACAAUGGGCGCAAGCCUGAUCCAGCCAUGCCGCGUGGGUGAAGAAGGCCU